GACGAACGCUGGCGGCGCGCUUAACACAUGCAAGUCGAACGGAAAGGCCUGCUUUCCCUUGUGGAUUGCGGGUACUCGAGUGGCGAACGGGUGAGUAACACGUGAGUGAUCUGCCCCCAACUUGGGUAUAAGCCUGGGAAACUGGGUCUAAUUCCCGAUAGGACUGCAGGGUGGUGCCUGUGGUGGAAAACGAUUUUCUAGCGGUUGGGGAUGAGCUCGCGGCCUAUCAGCUUGUUGGUGGGGUAAUGGCCUACCAAGGCGGCGACGGGUAGCCGGCCUGAGAGGGUGGACGGCCACAUUGGGACUGAGAUACGGCCCAGACUCCUACGGGAGGCAGCAGUGGGGAAUAUUGCACAAUGGGCGGAAGCCUGAUGCAGCGACGCCGCGUGGGGGAUGACGGCCUUCGGGUUGUAAACUCCUUUCGACCGCGAGGAAGCCACCUGGUUGGAAGGGUGGUGACGGUAGUGGUAGAAGAAGCACCGGCUAACUACGUG
rnacentral:rRNA from 1 species